UGUGGGGUAGAGCAGUUGGUAGCUUAUCAGGCUCAUAACCUGAGGGUCGGAGGUUCGAGUCCUUCCCCCGCAA
rnacentral:tRNA from 1 species